rnacentral:rRNA from 1 species
AUGCUUCAAGAUCUUAUCAAGGGUAUGCUAGAUGAAUUUGAAAACUAUGAGGUUUACAAGCUGAACAAAGUUUUCCUAUCUCUACAAGCUUGCAUAAUUGAAAUCCUGAACCAUGCAGGGGGCAAUGGGUAUAAAAUACCCCAUGCGAACAAGGAAAGGCUAGAGAACCUUGGGAUGCUACCUCCAAGACAUACAUGCCCUCAGGAGGUAUAUGCAAAUGCCCUACACAAUCUUGGGAUAAUGGAGAGAGUUGCUUGUUGA